rnacentral:rRNA from 1 species
GAUGAACGCUGGCGGCAUGCCUAACACAUGCAAGUCGAUCGGUAAGGCUCUUCGGAGUACACGAGAGGCGGACGGCUGAGUAACGCGUAGGAACACACCCUGCAGUGAGGGAUAAGACACCGAAAGGUGUUCUAAUACCGCAUACGGUCUUCGGAUUAAAGCAUUUAUGCGCUGAAGGAGUGGCCUGCGUCAUAUUAGAUAGUUGGUGAGGUAAUGGCUCACCAAGUCGAUGAUGUGUAGCUGGUCUGAGAGGAUGAUCAGCCAGACUGGAACUGAGACACGGUCCAGACUCCUACGGGAGGCAGCAGUGAGGAAUAUUUCACAAUGAGCGAAAGCUUGACGGAGCAAUGCCGCGUGCAGGAUGAAGGCCCUCGGGUUGUAAACUGCUUUUAUAAGAGAAGAUUAUGACGGUAACUUAUGAAUAAGGGACGGCUAACUACGUG